GCGUGACGUAUAAUGGACUGGCCGGACGCUUCUUCAGGAACAACAAGGCGCCAACUCUUUCAACCACCUCGGUAGCUUAGUAGCCAACCUAAAACUGGAAGAUUGACGCUUUAGACCAUGUUAAUGUACAUUAUGUAAUCUCAGUGUUGUAAAUGCAGUUCAGUUGACGUAUUAACUGGUUAACUUGAACCUAAUUUGCAUGUUCAAUUUGCAAACUUGUUAAAGAUUGUUGCUGAGCCUAGCACUAGGCUAGUCGCUAAUGCUAGCAGGCUAACAUCACUGACCACGAGUUCACUAAACUACUCCCCUGCUAAAGAAGAAGAGGUCUGCUGUACGGAGAAAGAAUCUCUGGCGAUGAACAUUGUCGUGAAAGAAGAAGAAGAAGAGGAGGAUAUGACUGUGAAAGGAGAGGAAGAACCUUCCAGAAUGAAAAAGGAGGAAGAGGAGGCUGUUAUAGUGAAAGAAGAGAAAGAAUCUUUUAGAGAGGAAGAGGAUGCUGUCUCAAUAAAGUUGAAGGAGGAAGACAUUUUGGGAGUGAAAGAGGAGGAGACAGAAGAUCAGAUUAACACCACGACGCUCCCCAUCCAACCUGACAGGGCCUGAGGGGAUCUGCAGAGAAGAAUGGGAGAAACUCCGCAAAUGCAGGAGGAAAACCAAACUUGGAGGAACCAGAGACGUCCAAAACAGCAAGACGACACCUCUGCUCCCAGAUUGGAAAGAGUUUUACCAAGUUAGGAAGCCUGAAAAGACAUGAGAGGGGACACACAGAACCGAAGCCACAAAAUUGCGCCCAGUGUGGAAAGAGUUUUAGCCACUUAGGAAAUCUGAAAGCUCAUGAGCGAACACACACACGGGAGAGGCCUUUCCAUUGCUCCCAGUGUGGAAAGAAUUUUAAGCGGUUAGACACUCUUAAAACCCAUGAGCAAAUACACACAGGGGAGAAGCCAUACCAUUGUGCCCAGUGUGGAAAUAGUUUUAGCCAGUCAGGAAGCCUGAAAGUUCAUGAGCGAAUACAUACAGGUGAGAAGUCAUACCUUUGCGCCCAGUGUGGGCAUCACAUCACAUUGUCCGUUGUCUUAUAUUGUUGACUGAGAAUGUGUUUACUUGUUUAUACCAUGUGAAAUUAAAUGGUACAAAGUCUA